rnacentral:rRNA from 1 species
UACGGAGGGUGCAAGCGUUACUCGGAAUCACUGGGCGUAAAGCGCGCGCAGGCGGUCUUUUAAGUUGGAUGUGAAAGCCUACGGCUCAACCGUAGAACUGCAUCCAAAACUAUUAGACUAGAGUGUGGGAGAGGAAGAUGGAAUUAGUUGUGUAGGGGUAAAAUCCGUAGAGAUAACUAGGAAUACCAAAAGCGAAGGCAAUCUUCUGGAACACUACUGACGCUGAGGCGCGAAAGCGUGGGGAGCAAACGGGAUUAGAUACCCCGGUAGUCCACGCAGUAAACGAUGAAUGUUAGUCGUCGGGGGCCUAGUGUCUUCGGUGAUGCAGCUAACGCAUUAAACAUUCCGCCUGGGGAGUACGGUCGCAAGAUUAAAACUCAAAGGAAUAGACGGGGACCCGCACAAGUGGUGGAGCAUGUGGUUUAAUUCGAAGAUACGCGAAGAACCUUACCUAGCCUUGACAUAUAUAAGAACUCAGUAGAGAUACAGAGGUGCCUUCGGGAGCUUUUAUACAGGUGCUGCACGGCUGUCGUCAGCUCGUGUCGUGAGAUGUUGGGUUAAGUCCCGCAACGAGCGCAACCCUCGUCACUAGUUACUAACGGUUCGGCCGAGGACUCUAGUGAGACUGCCUUCGUAAGGAGGAGGAAGGUGAGGACGACGUCAAGUCAUCAUGGCCCUUACGGCUAGGGCAACACACGUGCUACAAUGGCCAGGACAGUGAGACGCGAUACCGCGAGGUGGAGCAAAUCUAUAAACCUGGUCUCAGUUCGGAUUGUAGUCUGCAACUCGACUACAUGAAGCUGGAAUCACUAGUAAUCGUAGAUCAGCUAUGCUAUGGUGAAUACGUUCCCGGGUC